AGUUGCAGCCUCCAAGACCGCGGUGCCACCAAACCAAGCGCCGGACGCGGUGGCGCGCGCCUGUAAUCCCAGCUCCCCGGGAGGCUGAGGUCGGCGGAUCGUGGGUGCUCGGGGGUUCGGAGCUACGGCGCUGUGUGGAGCGGGCGUCCGCACCGGGCCUGGCACCAACAUGGGACUCCCGGGGGAGCCCGGGAGUACCAGGUUGUCUAAGGAGGGGGGGACCAGGCCCAGGCCGGACACGGAGCAGGUCAAACUCCCCGUGUUGGGCGACGGUGGGACCGCGCCUGCGAGCAACGCCUGCAGUUCCGCCCGGGACAUCCGAAGAGACCCGGUCUCUUUUAACUUCCCUUUUCGGGAUUUCUUUUAAAAAAUCAACAGCAUUAUUUCUGCAUACCACGUCCUUGAUCUCUGUGGCUGUGAGACGAUGAAUCUAGGGUGUCACCCCAGACAACGAGGCUGCUUCAAAAUCCCAAAGUCCCAAGGAGGACUGCUUCAUAAGGGAAGGAUUGUUUAUAGGUUUGGUGUUGAGUGGAAGGAAAGAGUCUGAGGAUAAUGCAUAAUAAGGUCAUGUGUUCCAUUUUUGUUGUCCAAAGAUAGAGGUUUAGACAUUCUGUAAUUUGAAGAGAGGCACGUAAGGAGGAGAGAGAUGAAAGACACAAGUAUAGAGCAAAAUGGAAUGGGUAGAGGGUUCAAAAGCUCAGAUGGAAUAUUAAGUAGACUUGGAAAUGAGAGACCAUUCCUCCGAGUAGGAAGACGGGUUGAAUAUGCCAAGAGCUAGCAAAUUAGGAGGUUAGGAAAAAGGUGGCUGAGGGAAUAUGCUGGCUGUCUCCCUUUCACAGCUCAGCAGCCACCCUUCCCUUUCCCCACCUCUAGCAAGUGGCCACUUUUUCAACAGCUUAGGGGGCUCCUUUUUCCAGGAAACUUCCCUUCAGUUCACUGGCCGUGCCUCUCUCUAUCCUUUUCCUCGGAGCAGGCUGUGCUAUGAUCAAGGCAUUGUGACCCCUGUGACCCACACGUACACAUCCAGAAGGUCUCCUGGAGCCAGAAAGUCUGGGACAACAGGAAAACCACAAAAGAAGAAAAACAGCUCCUGUCUUAGCUGAUUAGCCGACCUUGCGACCUUCUACCAUUGUAACAUGCUCUACCCUAACUGAUCAAUCAACUUCGUGACACUGUGCUCUGUGACCCCUCCCACCUUAUGAUAAUGUACCCUGUGACAUUCUUCCCCUGCCCGCAAUAAACGGGCCCUUAUUGUAUCUUUCCACUGCUUACUCCUAACCUAUAAAACUAGCUGCAAUCCCACCACCCUCCGGUGGUGGGACUCCCUUUUCGGACUCAGCCCGCUCGGACCCGAGUGAAUAAACAGCUUGUUGCUCACA